GGCCCAGAUCGUUUACCGUGAAAAAAUUAGAGUGUUCAAAGCAGGCAGAUUCAAUUUUCUGCCACCGAAUACAUUAGCAUGGGAUAAUGGAAUAGGACCCUGUCCUCCUCUCUUCAGUUGGUUAAUUUGCGUGCGAGGAUCAGGGUAAUGAUUAAUAGGGAUAGUUGGGGGCAUUAAUAUUUAAUUGUCAGAGGUGAAAUUCUUGGAUUUAUGAAAGAUUAACUUCUGCGAAAGCAUCUGCCAAGGAUGUUUUCAUUAAUCAAGAACGAAAGUUAGGGGAUCGAAGACGAUCAGAUACCGUCGUAGUCUUAACCAUAAACGAUGCCGACCAGCGAUUAGGAGACGUUGAAUACAAAACACCACCAUACAUAAUUCAAUGUAUGGCUUCACGGCUGUGCGUUGAUUGUGUAUGGCUUCGGUGAAUGACUCCCCUAGCAGCUUGUGAGA
rnacentral:rRNA from 1 species